rnacentral:rRNA from 1 species
UACGAAGGGGGCUAGCGUUGUUCGGAAUUACUGGGCGUAAAGCGCACGUAGGCGGAUAUUUAAGUCAGGGGUGAAAUCCUAGAGCUCAACUCUGGAACUGCCUUUGAUACUGGGUAUCUCGAGUAUGGAAGAGGUGAGUGGAAUUCCGAGUGUAGAGGUGAAAUGUGUAGAGAUCGGGAGGAACACCGGUGGCGAAGGCGGGUCUCUGGGCAAUUCCUGACGCUGAGGCGCGAAAGCGUGGGGAGCAAACGGG